UCAUGUCUUUGGUAAAAAAAAGCAUAAAGUAGGUAAAAAUAUCGAUGUAGCACUUCGGGUUUUGUAUUAGUGCUAUAACAGUUUUCAUAAUGGUUGGGCUCACUGCCAAGUCUCAAAAUAGAUCUCCUCUGAGAUUUUGAUGACUGACCUUGACCUUGUUCUACCAUGAAGCUAUUACAGGCUUUUUUCCCCCCCAACCAGACCAUACAAGAUGAUUUAAUUGAUGAGAGAUGACAUUUAGCUUUCAACAGCCGAUCAAGAACAGCAGGUGCGGAAGUUUAUUUUGCCAGCUCUGAAGGAACUUGAGGAAUAUUUGAAUAAGCGAGAUUCACAGACACACAUUCAAGCACACUGGGAGGAACAAAGGAAGCAUUUGUCAGGACACAAGAAAGUGCAACAAUCUUCUGAAAUUAAAAUGAAUUUGGACAUUUCAAAUACUACAUAUAUCUUCCGAAAACAUCUGAACGCACCUCCAGGCAAGUUAAUCUUCCUAAAGAUUUUUUUUCCCUCCACUCCUUAUCUUUCAUCCCACUCCGGUACCAUGGCUAUAUUGAUCCAGGGAAAAGGAAUGUAAUCAUUAGUCUGCCCACCCCCCCCCCAAAAAA